CUCACAAAAAUUCAGCACUGCACCAAAACACAACGCAAUGUAAAAUUACGAAAAAUUCCUACUUAAUCACUAAAAUAAAACAUAAAACAUUUAAUUUAACUCAAAUAACAAAAAUCAACAAAAUAUAUCAAAUAAAUCCUUAAUUUAACUAAUAAUUGAGGAUAAAUAAGACUAAAAUAGUGGGAAAAUAUGCAUAUGAUGAAGAGUCAUCAGUGGGGUUAUAGGUAAUGGACCCAUCUUAUCCUCGUGAUAGUUAUUGAGUCGUGAUGUUAAUGGGAAUAAUCACUAUGAUACUAUCCGUAAUGAGCAUCACUAUGUUGUUACCGGUAAUGGACAACAUAGUUGAGGAAACUUCAACACCCUUUUGCAGAGAGUUAUAUAUUCCGAAAACAUGUGAACUCGCAUGUAGAGUUGGAUUAGGACUUACAAGUGUUAUUGAAAUAAAUUCAUGAACUUGAUUAUGUUAUGUUGUUGUUUAUAAACUAUAUGAUUACCCACUUUAUUUAUGUUACUUACACCGUAUGUGUAUAUCUGUUAUUUUAAGUUGACGACCUUUCCAUUUUUGACAGCAUUGACAUAGACAUUGCUAGCUUUCACUAACUAAGAUAAUCAAUCGUCCUAGAUUUUUUACUAGACUUCAAGAAGAGCACAAGGUUGGUAGUGGAGACGAUGACCAUAGAAGGUAGGAUGUUUCAUGGGAUUGUGACACUUAGAGUAAUGGAGUACCUAGUUCCAGAUGACCUCGUUUUAUAGACUAGGAAAGUUGGUCUAAUAGAUGAAAGUGGGAGAUUGGUUACCAUUUAUCCCAUGUGUGCACAUUCCUCUAUGUAUUAGAGUUGUGAUAAUAGCUUUUUGGAGAUCUCAUGCCCUAUUAUUUAUGUUGUAGAUUUGGUAAUUCGAAUGAGGAGGAGGACCCUAUGAAGUACUUUGCUGAUUGGGACAUUAAUUCUAGUUGGGAUGUUGUGUCAGACGAGUCUUGCAUUUAUGCGGUGAUCGUCGUUAUUUGUAUUACAGUAGCUUAUGAUCAGUUGUAAGUGUCUAUAUGUCAGUAGUUUUAGACUUAUGUUAAGGUGCUAAAAAACAAACGAAACAGAGAGAGAUUUGAAUUGUGUUUGUCGUUUCUCAGAGUUAUUUCCCUUUUCUUACAAAAAUUGUUCUUUAACAAAACACUAAACUUACUUUAAAAAAGGUUUAGACAAAGUUAGAUUGAAUUAUAAAGAACUAAGCUGCGAAAGAUAGAAGAGGAUAAAGGAGACAGAUAUAUGUUAUACUAGUUUACAACAAACUAUUGUUACAUCUAAACCUCCCUUUACAAAGAUAUUCUGCCUCAAUACAAUCAAUGUUUCAUCCACUAUUUCAAUAAAUAGCAUAGAAGUAUUAUUUUCUCUGCCUCUUCAGACUUUGAGUAUUUUUCUCUUGUCUCUCUAGGAUUUCUUAACAUUUCAUCAUUCAGGUUGAGCAAUUAAUGUUUUAAGAAAACUCUAAAGUCUUUUUUAGAGUAUUGUUGGAACCAAAUUGAUUUUAUACUUGAGGUUUUGAUGAUAACAAAAGUAUUUCAUGAGAACAAUAUAUUUGACUUCAAAUAGUAUGAAAGAAGAUUCAAAUUUAUAAUUAAAGAAAAACUAAAAUAAGAUCCGAUUCAAAUUUAUAAUUGAUGAAAUCUAAAAUAAGAUUUGAUUUAUAUUUAUGAUUGAAGAAAAUCUUUGACCAAGUUGAAAAGAAGAUAUGGUCUAGAUUUGAAGAAGAUUUUAUCAAGAUUCGAAGAAGAUUUUAUCAAGAUUUGAGGAAUAUUUGAUCAAGUUUUGAAGAAUAUUUGAUCAAGAUUUGUCUACAACAAAAAAUGAACAUAAUCGAUUUGAGGAUUUAAAAAAUGUAAUCUAAACAAAAUACGAACAAAAUCAAUCUGAAAAAUUUACAAACGUGAAGAUUCGAGAACAACCUGAAUCCAUUCCAGCUCAAAUCAAGCAAAAGUAUAAAAGAAGAUCCUUGUUUUUGAAGACAAUCUAAAAUAAGAUUUGAUUCAGAUUUAUAAUUGAAGAAAAACUUUGACCAAGUUUACAAGAAGAUUUGAUCAAGAUUUAUCACAACAAAAUUUGAUCAAGAUUUAUUUACAAGAAGAUAAGAAUUAUUUACAAGAAGAUUUGAUCAAGAUUUAUCUGCAAGAAUAUAUGAAUUAUUUACAAGAAGAUUUGAUCAAGAUUUAUCACAAAAAGAUAUGAAUUAUUUAGAAGUCAAUUUGGUCAAGAUUUAUCUAUAAGAAUAUAUGAAAUAUUUACAUGAAGAUAUGAUCGAGAACUGUUUACAAGAAGAAACAUUCACAAGAAGAUACAAUUAUUUUUUUUCAAAUAUAUGAUUCAGAUUUUUCAAGGACAAAGGAGAGACACUAACCUAUUCUAUAAAGAUAUUCAAGGUUGAAGAAGAAAACAAGAGAACUCACAAGCACAAAAUUUCCUAAGUCAUUAGAGUUUAUAAGGUUAAGGUCUAGAGAAACAUUUUCUCAAAAUAAAUAUUUUCUAAGUGUUUUCUAUUGUGAGAGUCAUUGUUGCAAUCAACUCGUUAGAAGCAAACCAAUUUGUUACAAACUCUUGUAACUAGCUCGAUAGUGGCUUUCGUGUUCCUCAAAAAGUUAUAGAUUUUCAAGUUGUGUUGAGAAGACUUGGCUUCUAGAGUUAAGGUGUUUGUGUUCCUCAAAAGGUAUGUAGUUGUCAGGUUGUUUUGUGAAGAAUGGCUUAUAAGGUCAUGUGUUGUGUAAUUCAAGUUUAAAAUUAGUAGAUGAAAUCCUUCUGAGUGGGGGGAUUGGACGUAGCUACCAAAUUGGUGGUGAACUAGAAUAAAUUCUUAUGUCACCUUAAUUUUGCAAUUCUUGUUUUACUUCUGACUCUGAUCACUUAAACCGAUUGCUACUACUUUUAUUUUAUGUAAGCCACCAAACCCAUACCAGUUUUAAAUAAAUUAACAAAAAGAAUCCAACUUAGUCAAACACAAUUCAAUCCUUAUUCUCGUGUUUGCACAUUUAGACAAUUUUUGUAGUGGAAUUUCGAGUUGUCAUAAGCUUAAUAAUCCUUUGAGUUGGAGGAAUGUUGAAUCAAAGGAAUGCUUUAUCUUCAUUGUUGACUUUUCUUCUCACCAAUGUUGAUUUCUCAUUUUGGACACUCAAUCAACUCUGAUUCUUCUCUUCAUGUGUUCGUAUGUUUGGUUAUAAGAGGCUUUGACUAGAGCCAUUUGUUCUAUUAUGAAAUAUGUGACUCGUCUUCUAAGUUAUGACUUGCUCUUUAAUUAAAAAAAACAUGUAUUUAUUUUUCCAUUAUUUGAUAAUAUCAUUUAUUUGAUUUUCACAUAAUAGAUUAUCUCUAAAUCACAAAUUACUAUGCUACUUAUGUCAAAUAGUUAAUACAUAUAUUAUUGUUAUGUCUUAAACUAAUAUGCACUCCUAAAGUAACUAGUUAGUGGAUAAUUAUUCUCUUGCUUUGUUACCAUCAAUAAUAAGUAUUGUAUUUUAAUUAAUAUAGCUCUUAAAAGAGAAGGGUAACUUUUUUCCCCUUGUUUAAUUGCUGAAAUUUGCAAGAAAUUUUGAAUAUAUGAUCACCCUAAUGAUGUUAGUUUCAAGAACAAUGAGAGCAUUGACAUAGUUUAUAUGGAAAGGUUGGCCAAGCCAUUACAUAAGCCAAAGGUUAACAAACCUCAACAACCACCUUCUCCACCUAUUAUUACUCCAACUAGCACACCCACUCCUAAAAACAACAAGUCCAUUUAUGUUGUCUUUGCUUAAGAAUCACUUUGACUCUACACAAGCUUAUAGGUCUUUUGUCAAGGCAGGUCACUUAUGUCACAAAAUCAUCUAUGACUCAAAUUUCAAGGGCAAGAUGAUGAAAAAAUCUCAUAAGUUUCCCAAAAUUAUUCUUUAUGGGAUUAAUAUGUAGAACAAAAAACACAAGAAAGAGGGAGAGAGUUGAAUUGUGUUUUUUUUUUUUUUUAAAUUAACGUGACUGGACUAAAGUAAAGAAAAGUAAAGCACAUAAGCAAAACAGAAUAACACAACUGAUUUAUCCUGUUUCACCCAACACGGCAGCUACGUCCAGUCCCUUCAAUCUGAAUGAUUUAAUCCACUAAUUUAUCAUUGAACCAUAAUUCCACUAAUUACCUACUAGUCAAAUGGAUUGUGUUCAAUUCUUUUCAACCCUCUAGCUUAGUACAUUCAAGUUGUUGAGGAAGACAACCACUAUUGGGAGAGGUUACAAAAGAAUAUGUUUAGGUUUUCUGAAAAAGCUCUCACAAGAGAGUGUUUAUAAAGUCGUACUCUUAGAAACUUUUCUCGGCACUUAGGUAAAAUAAACUAUUAAGAGAAAAAUUGUAGAGACGGUUGUACUAUGCUUAUCGCAAUGCAUUUAUAAUUAUUAUUUCAAGUGAGGAAUACAUGUCUAUUAAUAGGGAUCUUUUAGGAUUUCUAGUUGUUGUCUUGAUUUCAAGAAAUCCAACAUAUAUCAUAAAAUUUCGUAUCAAAUAUUUUGAGAUUAAUUUUCCAUAGAAAACUUUCCAAAACAAAUCCUUGUAAUUGAUUUUGCAUAUAAUGGUAUAGAGAUAGAGGAAGCAAAUGAUACAAUGAUCAGAAUAUAUCUCAUAGACCUUUAGACAAGUAAGAGAUUAUAGGUGUUCAUUAGAGGAUGCACAAAAGAUUUGUCUUCUUUUGAGCGUUGACUUUCAUCAUAGUGUUAACUUUAAUCAGAGGAUACAUUAUAAAUCAAAGUCAGGCUAUCAAAUACUUGAUGCGAUUGUUAGAGGCAGACCGUCACGUCCUUGUCAAGAUUACCAGAUGUAGACAAUCAGAUAUUUGUUGCAUUCAUUAUAGACCAACGAACAAAUGUUUGUUGUAGUCAUCACAGAUAGAUGAAACAUAGCAUAACUUGUAUUAUCGGAGUCAUCUGAGGCACAUUUCAGAGCAUGUUAACAAGACCUAAAAUACUAAAUUAGAAGUGAAGUCUUGAAGUUCCUUUAUCUAAGUCCAAUCAUUAAGAAUAUAUCAUAAGACCCUAAAAAACUCAUUUGGUUUGGGAACUACAAACUUAAUCAAAACGUUAGUUCUUUAAAUUAUUCUCAUAGAUUGAUUUUGUUACCACUAAAACAAGUAAGGGUCAUAGUUUUUCAAACCAACUUGGUUCUAAAAUAAUCCUAGAGAUGACAUUCCACAAAAUGCACCAUCUACUACCCAACACACCCACCACCAAAAGGACAAAAGAUUAAGACUAUUGAUAGAAAACCUCCAAGGAAGGUGAAGAAAGUAAAUGAAGGUUCUUUUAACUUUGAGGAAACCAACAAGGAAGAUAGCUCUAGGCUUGUGAGUCUUAUGUGUGAUAAUUAGAGCCCACUGCCUCCUUUUACUUAUAAUAAGGAUAGAUAUAUUUUCAUUUUCCCCCCAUGGGAGUACAAAAGAUGAAGUUGAUGUGAUCAUCACUUAGGUUAUUGGCAAGAAAAAAAUAGAGAAAUAAGAUUAAGGUUCUACCGAAAUCAAUUUCUCUUACGCUAAAUCAAAUUUGCUUCAGCCUAGUUUCCAUAUUUACACAAAUAACAUCUUUCAGCAGCAAGUUGCCUCGAUUUUUAUGCCCUUUUAAUGCUCAAAUAAAAAAUUCCCAAUACAGAAAACAUUAAGAAGCACAAAACCUAUCAAAUAUGUGAAGAAUAGGAUAUCAAAUCUUAGUUUAAAUUAUAUCUAUCAAGUUACAAAAAUAAGGUUGUUAAAAUACUAUCUCCCUAAAAGAAAUUUUGUCAUCGAAAGUUAAUGUACCUAGGAUAUAAAUAUUGUUAGUGCAGUCUCAUCACUAUACUUAGGUCAUAUUAUGCUUUUAGUGUGCUACACUGAUCAAUAAUUAUCCGUCACUUAUUUUAGAAAAUUCUCUUGAAAUGCUUAGAACAUGAAAAUGCCUUGAUACCAAAGCUUACUUUAAAACAACUUUAAGGAAAAUGCAAAUCCAACUUGAGCCUAUGUGCUUCUCUAUUCACCUUUAUUGAUUUUCUUACAUUAACCAUAAUAGCACUUAAGUUUUACUUGACCUAAGGAUAAUUUGCCUAUUGGAUAGUCUUGUCUUAGAAUGUCUCAGUCCUAAGCGAUUCAUAUGUCUAUGUCUAAAAUUUUUAAAUCCUUCUAUUAACUCUAGUCCUUUCCUCAUCAUCAUUAACAUGCAAUAUGCAACGCCUUCCUAAUUAAAUAUGCCAACUACACAUUUUCCUUUCCUUGUUAUUGACAAUUUGAAAUCAUAAUCCUUCAAAAACUUUGUCUAUCUCCUAUAUCUCACAUUCAACUCCUACUAAUCAAAGAGAUACCUUAAACUCUUAUGAUCCUUCCACCCCAUGAUCUUUGCGUCAUACAAAUAAUGUGUUUAAACUUUCAAGGUAAACAAACAAAUGCUAAGUCUAAGUCGUGGGUAGGAUAAUUACUUUUAUGUAUCUUUUAAUGUGAACCAUACCAAUUUCCACUUGCAUGAGUGCAUAUCCCUUUAUAUGACUAAUUUUGGUACACAUCAAAUUGAUCCAAAGGAUUUGGCAAAGAUAACUCCUACCCAUAUCCCUUUAUACGUUGUACGAGGACUAAGGAAUGGGGAAUUAAUAUGGUCCACUAAUUUUCAUUAAAUAAGUUUCUAUGCUUGUAUUCAUUUGAUGUCUUUUAUCAUGUUUGUAAAAUGUUUUUAGCAGAGUCGCUUCCUAUAUAUAUAAUUGAGUUGUUCAAUAAAACUAGUCGAACUAUAUAUAACUCAAGUUCCAUUCAUUUAGUUAACAUGCUUAAUUUUUAGUUCAAAUUCAACUAAUUAAUUGUCGAGUCUCGAAUUAUUUUUUGAGUUGGUCGUUGUCAGCCCCAGCUGCAGCCCAAACAUGUCAAAUUCUAUGGUUGGAAUCAUUACUCAAAGAAUUGAAGAUUGAAUCGAAGAAACCAGUGCAAUUGUUAGUAGACAGCAAAUCCUCUAUAAGUUUGGCAAAUAAUCCAAUUGCACAUGGAAUCAAAAAUUCACUUUCUUAGAGAUCAAGUGAACAACGGAAGGUUGGAAUUGAUACAUUGCAACACUAAAUUACAAGUAGCAGAUGUGUUUACAAAACCACUUAAAACUGAUAGGUUUUCGGAGUUAAGGGAGAAUUUUGGAGUUGCAUCAUUGAAAAGCUUGAAUUAAGGGGAUAUGUUGUAGUGUAACUCAAAUGUUAGUUUAUUUUUUUUAUAAGUUAAUUCAAAUAUCAGCUAAUUCUGUUAAUGUUACAGAUAGUUGGUUAUUAACUGUUUUAGUAAUAUAGCCUAAUUAAGUGCUAGUACAUAUGAGGUUAAUGUACUCUUAUGCAAGUGUGUAUAAAUAGUCGUGAUGCUCAAUAAUAAAUAGAUAUAUGUUACUCAUUUAAUUUUGUUCAUUAUACUCACUAAUUCAAUUUUGAUCUGAGUAAAGUUAAACAUUCGUCAAAUUUGAUAGCAAUGAUAAUUUACUCAAUAAUUUUUAUUUAAUAUAUAAAAUUAAAAUCUAAUAAAACAUAAAUAUAAAUUAAAAAAAAAACAUCAUUUAAUAAUAAGUUGAAUAAAACAUAUUAAUAUUCAAGAGUAGUUUUUCUAUUUAUGUAUUAUAUAUUAGAGAAGGAUCUAAUUACAUCGAUAUAUCAUAUUAGAAUACGACUUUUUAAUUUUUAAAUUUGUCAAUGACUUGAUAUACCUUGUUGUCAAUUACUAGACUACUUUUUCCUCUUCUUUGAUUUUAUCCAUAUAGUUUUUAAAAAGUGGGUUUUUAAUGAAAAAAUUGAUAUUUCAAAUUCUAUAAUGCUAUAGUUUUAACGAAAACUAUUAAGCUCGUUAGCAUGAGGUAAUUUUUAAGUUUAGAUCCUCUCAAUUAUAUCAUAAAGAUUAUACACGUAAAAUUUUGUAUAAAUUUAAAAUCAUUUGAUAUAUUAUUGAAAUACAUCAAAAUUAGCUUUUUAUAUAUUUUAUUGAACACUUUUAAUUUUUAUAUAUUUUAAUAACAUAACAAAUAAUUUGAUAUUUAGAUAAAUAUUUUUAUGUAUAACUUAUUUGAUACUCCUCUAAACUUUCGAUGUAAUGAAAACUAAAUUAAAAAAAACUAAAAAAUUGAUAGAGAUUAAAAGAGAUUUGAAUUAAAGUGAUUCACACUCUUUGUGGAUUCGUUUCCCACUUAUUUUAAUUUAAUUAAAAACCAUCUGCGUACGAUUUUCUCUUUCUAUUGUAUUAUAUAGUUGCUGUGCUGCACACAAAUUGUUUAUUGGUCAUUGACUGCUCUUCUUCUUCAUCUCAAUGCUGUUUUAUAUGUGCAGUUCCCAACCACAGGCUGGCACACUAAUUAUAUGUGUUUUGUAGGUUUAUUAUAUCUAUGUCAGGAGCAGACUAACUAUGGCCGGGUUGUCUUUUGCUAACCUAUUUUUAUUAUAUUUUUAUAUAUAGUUGUUGCAUAUUUAAUAAAUUGAUAUAUUUGUUCUAUAAGUUAAUUCAUAACUUUUUCUUAUUUUGACUUAUUAAUUUUUAUAAUAAUUAUAAAAAGAGUUUAUCAACAAUAAAACUUGUAACGAUAGAGAGUUUUAUUUUGUUUCAAAUUUAAAUUUAGCCAAAAAGAAUAUUUAAUAUGUAUUAAUAAAAACCUUGUUACUUAUUUUUUGUUACUAACUUUAUAAUACACCAACCGUAAAAUUCAUAUUAUAUUAUAACAAAAUAUAUAUCUUUUUUAAUAAAUAAACAUUUAAAAAUACAUUUUAUUAUAAUUUAAGUAAAUUUAAUUUUGUAAAAUGACUUUUUAAGAGGAUUCAAACAUAAAUUGCACAUGAUUUUUUAAGAAAAAAUAUUCAAAUAUUAAAUACAUUAGAAAAGAUUUCAUUUUUAACUAAAAGUACGCUCAUAACAUAGAAUUUACUCAAAAAGUACAUUUGUAAACGUGAAUUUAAACGUAGAUUGUUCUCUAAAUUAUACAAGAUUGUUUAUAUAUACAAAUUAGGCAAAACAAAAUGUCCUUCCAUAAUUGGACCGGAAGUGCAUAGUUAAACUAAUACUAAUAUUCUUGUUCAAAUUUCAACACCCUAAUAAAAACAAACUUCAACACCAAUUUACUAUUCAAGAAAAAAACUAUCGAUACCCAAAACUAAAAGCUUAAAACUCAACCUAAAGAAAGAGAAAAUCGAGAAAGCAAUUUAAUAGAGAGAAUAGAGAUGCGUAGAGGUUUAAUACAAUUUUGAUUUUUAUCUUUUAUUUAAUAAUUAUUUUAGUCUUUUAUAUUUUUUUAUUUCUUUUUAUUCUUUAUAAAUAAUCUAUUAAGUCAUGGUUAUAAACACAACAAUAGUUAUAAUAAUAUCUUAUCAUUAAAAUUUCUUGUAACAUGCUUAAUGUAUAUUUAUUAUAGUUUAUUAUAUUUUCAUUCAAUCUAUUUACGAUCACAAUUUAUUGUACUAAAUUUUUUUAAAAAGAUAUCAAAAUUAAAUUCAUAAAUCUAUUCUAAUAAUUGAACUCAUAUUCUCAUUGAUGUUUUAACAAAGUAUCUAAUUUAUAUCAUAAAAAUAUAAAAAAUAAAAAAUAAAAAGUAACGAUAAUUAACAAACAAAUAAAAAUAAUGUUUUUGCUAGAAAUAGUACAAACCUCCCUCAUCCAUAUUUUAAGCUUCCAUGUUUCCCAUAUUUUGAAUCUUCACCAACUUUGCACUCCAUCAAAAAGUAGAAGUCUCAUAUUCAUCAACUUUGCACUCCACCAAAAAGUAGAAGUUUCAUCUUCACUUGUCACUCCAUAAUUUAUGCAAAACAAUAGAAAAAACUGAAACUCAAUUUACCUCAUGGACGCAACCAUUCAUCCUUGUAGUUUAUAAAUUGAGAACCUAAAAUUAAAUCAAGGUGAGGUUUAUUUUCCUAAAAAAAUUAGAAUAGAGGAAAUAGAGUUCUUAUUUGCUUCUAAAAUCAACAAAGAAAAUCAUCAUCUUCUUAAAAUGUAGAGUUAGAGAGAGCAUGAGUCACACAUCACCACAUUCACCAUCAUUUGCAAAUCCUUUAGGAAACCAUCAUCAAAUCAACCUCCACAAACCACCACCACGAGCAUUACCGUCAGAGUUUCCACACAGCCACCUCCAUCAACUUUGACCUCUGGCGAACCACCACCGCGAGCGCUACCGCUAAAACAUCCACUCGACCACCACUGCUAACUUCGACCGUCGACAAACCACAACCGCGGACAACUCCCCUUUCAUGGUCGUUUUUUGUGUGUUUGUUCUCUCUCACUCUCUCUCUUAACAAUUAAACUUAUUUAUCUCUCUCACUCUCUAUGUAUUUGUUUACUUUUUAAAAUAAAUAAAAAGAUAUUCUUAAACGAAUUAACUGGAUGAGACAUAUUUUUACUCCUUGAAUUUUUGAGACACGAGUUGUACAACUUGAU
rnacentral:lncRNA from 1 species